CCCAUGUACCUUCCACCUGUGACCCCUGCACCCUCCAUCGUGUGCUGUUACUGCAGUGGCCAUAGCUCCCGAUGACAGCUACAGCAUCACCAUAAUGAACCACGACCAAAAGUCCAAGGGCAGCAGGAUGCUGCCUGCCGGACCCGACACCCAGGAGAACUUUCAUGGGCGGAACUCGCUGGGGCCAGCAACCAGCCCACAGCCCAGUGAUGAGACAGC